rnacentral:rRNA from 1 species
ACGCUGGCGGCAUGCCUUACACAUGCAAGUCGAACGGCAGCACGGAGCUUGCUCUGGUGGCGAGUGGCGAACGGGUGAGUAAUAUAUCGGAACGUACCCUAGAGUGGGGGAUAACGUAGCGAAAGUCACGCUAAUACCGCAUACGAUCUAAGGAUGAAAGUGGGGGAUCGCAAGACCUCAUGCUCGUGGAGCGGCCGAUAUCUGAUUAGCUAGUUGGUAGGGUAAGAGCCUACCAAGGCAUCGAUCAGUAGCUGGUCUGAGAGGACGACCAGCCACACUGGAACUGAGACACGGUCCAGACUCCUACGGGAGGCAGCAGUGGGGAAUUUUGGACAAUGGGCGAAAGCCUGAUCCAGCAAUGCCGCGUGAGUGAAGAAGGCCUCCGGGUUGUAAAGCUCUUUUGUCAGGGAAGAAACGGUGAGAGCUAAUAUCUUUUGCUAAUGACGGUACCUGAAGAAUAAGCACCGGCUAACUACGUGCCAGCAGCCGCGGUAAUACGUAGGGGUGCAAGCGUUAAUCGGAAUUACUGGGCGUAAGCGUGCGCAGGCGGUUUUGUAAGUCUGAUGUGAAAUCCCCGGGCUCAACCUGGAAUUGCAUUGGAGACUGCAGGCUAGAUCUGGCAGAGGGGGG